rnacentral:tRNA from 1 species
GCAUUGGUGAUUCAAUAGUAGAAUUCUGGCCUUCCAUGUGAGAGACCCGGGUUCAGUUUCGGCCAAUGUA